rnacentral:lncRNA from 1 species
CUUGGUCUCCACCAAUAGGAAUUGAGUCUCGAGCGGGAUAUCUCUUCCUUGAUCGCCCAUUUUCUGGGCCAUCCACCAUAACUUGAACCGGAAGCACGCCAAGAAGCGGACGUCGUGAAAAGUUCCUAAGGGAAUCACGUGCCUGCUGUUGUCCCCCUCGAAAGCCGCGCCGAGGAAGACCCCCUCGACAGGACCGGAAGACGAACCGGAGGUGGCGACCACAUUGUCCGGUACUCCCGUCAGAAUCGUCCGGUCCUUG